GCCGGCGUAGCUCAGGGGUAGAGCAACUGUUUCGUAAACAGUAGGUCGUGUGUUCGAUUCACACCGUCGGCUCCA
rnacentral:tRNA from 1 species